AGAGUUUGAUCCUGGCUCAGGACGAACGCUGGCGGCGUGCCUAACACAUGCAAGUCGAACGGAGAUACUUUUGAAGCUUGCGAAGGAGUAUCUUAGUGGCGGACGGGUGAGUAACGCGUGGGUAAUCUGCCCAUAAGCGGGGAACAACAGUUGGAAACGACUGCUAAUACCGCAUAAACUGCCUAAGGGCAGGAAAGGUGGCCUCUGAAUAUGCUGCCGCUUAUGGAUGAGCCCGCGUCUGAUUAGCUGGUUGGUGGGGUAAAGGCCUACCAAGGCGACGAUCAGUAGCCGGCCUGAGAGGGUGAACGGCCACACUGGGACUGAGACACGGCCCAGACUCCUACGGGAGGCAGCAGUGGGGAAUAUUGCGCAAUGGGGGAAACCCUGACGCAGCGACGCCGCGUGAGCGAAGAAGGCCUUAGGGUUGUAAAGCUCUGUUUUAGGGGACGAAAGCUAUAGGGAGAAAUAUGCCCUGUAGAUGACGGUACCCUAAGAGGAAGCCCCGGCUAACUACGUGCCAGCAGCCGCGGUAAGACGUAGGGGGCGAGCGUUGUCCGGAAUUACUGGGCGUAAAGAGCACGUAGGCGGGAACUUAAGUCAGGUGUGAAAGACCGUGGCUCAACCACGGGUAUGCAUUUGAAACUGGGUUUCUUGAGGGCAGGAGAGGAAAGCAGAAUUCCUGGUGUAGCGGUGAAAUGCGUAGAAAUCACGAGGAAUACCAGUGGCGAAAGGCGGCUUUCUGGACUGACCCUGACGCUGAGGUGCGAAAGCGUGGGUAGCAAACAGGAUUAGAUACCCUGGUAGUCCACGCCGUAAACGAUGGAUACUAGUGUGGGAGGUAUCGACCCCUUCCGUGCCGCAGCUAACGCAAUAGUAUCCCGCCUGGGGAGUACGGUCGCAAGGCUGAAACUCAAAUGAAUUGACGG
rnacentral:rRNA from 1 species